GAUGAACGCUGGCGGCGUGCCUAAUACAUGCAAGUCGAGCGAACGGACGAGACGCUUGCUUGUCUGAUGUUAGCGGCGGAUGGGUGAGUCACACGUGGCUAACCCACCUAUAAGACUCGGCCAACUUCGGGACACCGUAGUUACUACCGGAUACACUUUUGAACCGCAUGGUUCAUAAGUGAAACUCCGUCUUCCUGUUAGUUAUAGAUGGACCCGCGCUGCAUUAGCUAGUUGGUAAGGUAACGGCUUACCAAGGCAACGAUGCAUAGCCGACCUGAGAGGAUGAUCGGCCACACUGGAACUGAGACACGGUCCAGACUCCUACGGGAGGCAGCAGUAGGGAAUCUUCCGCAAUGGGCGAAAGCCUGACGGAGCAACGCCGCGUGGGUGAUGAAGGCCUUCGGAUCGUAAAACUCUGUUAGUAGGGAAGAACAUAUGUGGAAGUAACGGUGCACGUCUUGACGGUACCUAAACAGAAAGCCACGGCUAACUACGUG
rnacentral:rRNA from 1 species